AACUUGGAUCAGUGCCAACGAUUUUUGAGAAUACGCCACCCAUUGAUGAUGAGAAAGUGGAAAAAUUUUUUUAACUUCUAAUCGUCUUGCUACAACUGCCUCCGUUAAACCUCUUGUGGACAUUUCAAAUCCAAAGGCUAUUACUCAUAAACAGCCUCAGAUGAUCAGGAUUGUCCAGAAUGUAAAUGAGAUUGAGCAACCAUCAGGGCAUAUUGAACAGUUUACGACUGUUGAAAAUCGUGAAUUUACCGUAUGCCCGAUGUUAGAAGAUGUAAAUCAAGCUUCACAACGAAUUAUACAUCACAAAAGAAAAGUCUCUGAAUCGGGAUCUGGAACAAGUGAGGAGUCUACUGGUACAUCUGUGUCUAAUAAGCGAUAUCGUACAUCAG